UGUCAGACAUAAAAUGGACGAUCGAUUCGUGUUGCUACGCAAGUGUUCGGUAAGCGUCGUGAAUCAUCCUUCGUUGUUGAACUGACGCAACUUUCGCUACUUGCUUUAAUAAUACGUAUUAUGAGGUUCUUAAAUUUAAACCUUAAGAAUCAAAAAAUAGAGCACUUUUUUGUCUAACAAAACUUUGACCGUUUUUUAAUAUCAUGGUCCAGUAUAUAGCGCGGUUAGCGACUACCUGACAGCUCCAUCCGUUCGCCGGCCGUAUUGUGCUAUUACCAAUUUACCGCCCAAAAUCCUUAUGUAGAAAAAAAAAACUCCAGCAGAGGCAGCAGAGGCGGUCGAGACAAGAUGGCUGAGGCUGCAUGAAGCUGGUAUUGUGAAUAUUGUGAUAAAGUUUUUAUUGUUACUGGACAUAGUAGGAAGAACUGAACAUGUCUCGAAAACCUUUUGUCCUAAUGUCUAGGCAGGGACAGUUAAAGAGAAUAAAACGAGAAAUGGCACAAAACACACAAACAAAUAAUAUUUCGACCAAUGACAGCCACACAGAGGAAAACAUAUUGUUUUCUCAUCACAACUCUCGUCAGGAGGUGCAGCUAAUGGCAGAGAACGAAUUUGACUUGAAUAGCCCGGGUUCCUCUUGACAUUGUUCCCAUCCUCCUCAAAACCAUUUCAAUUCCUCUCCAAGUCAACAAAAUACUCCAGCUUAUAAUGAUUAUUCGGCAUUUAAUAAUUUUAUUAAUGAACAGCCUUUAUCAGAUAGUGAUAGUGAUGACCAGGUUAAUCCAAUUGAUAUGAAUGAAUCAUUUAAAAAUAGUUUGAGACAUUGGGCUAUCAAAAAUCAAAUAACCCAUGUUGCUACUAAUGAAUUGCUGAAUAUAUUAAAAGAUCAUGAAUGUUUUGAUUUGCCAGCUGAUGCUAGAUCAUUACUUAAGACUCCGGCAAAUGUUAUCUGUCGAGUUGUUGAGCCAGGACAUUACUCUCAUAUAGGUUUGGAGAAAAAUUUGAGGGAAAUAUUGAAAUUUGUUAGUGAAAAUGAUAAUGAAAUUCUUCUAUUAAUCAGCAUUGAUGGGUUACCAUUAUUUAAACGUAGUACAAUGGAGUUUUGGCCAAUUUUGGGUUCUGUCUAUAAUGUUCCUGCAAUAAAAUCGGUUGUGUUCCCUAUUGGUGUGUAUUGUGGCCCUAAAAAACCUAUUAGCUGCACAUCUUUUAUGGAAGAAUUUAUUUCUGAAGUUGCUAAAUUGAUUAACUCGGGUUUGACUAUUAACGGCAAAAACAUUAAAGUUGCUAUUAAAGGUUUUGUUUGUGAUACUCCGGCAAAAUCUUUUCUAUUAGGAGUCAAAGGACACACAGGUUAUUAUUCAUGUACAAAGUGCAGACAGCCUGGUGUUUAUUUGGAAAACAGAAUGACAUUUCCUGAGUGUGAUGCAACUCUAAGAACCCAUGUAGAGUUUCUCAAGAUGGAUGAUGAAGAUUUUCAACGUACUCAAACGCCAUUAAUAUCAGUACCUGGCAUAAAUUUUAUUAAAAGUUUCCCAUUGGAUUAUAUGCACCUUGUUUGCCUAGGUGUUGUGCGCAGUCUUAUUUAUAUAUGGAUGUUUGGACCAGUACCAAUAAAACUGCCUCGUCAAAUUUUAAAUAACAUCAGUGCUGAUCUGGUUGCUCUUGCCAAGCACAUGCCUUUAGAGUUCAAUAGGAAACCACGUUCUUUGGAUGACGUCAAAAGGUGGAAGGCAACUGAAUUUCGCCAUUUUUUGCUAUACACAGGGCCGUUAGUACUUUCAAAAUUAAAGUCUGAAUAUUUAUCAUAUUAUAACAAUUUUAUAAGCCUUACUGUUUCUAUGAGUAUAUUAUUAAAUCCGGAAUAUUGCUUUAAAUACAAUGAAUAUGCUAGAAAUCUGCUAAAACAUUUUGUCAAAACAUUCAUCAAUUUAUAUGGCGCCCAAAUGGCAACUUAUAAUCUACAUGGUCUUGUACACCUCAGUGAUGAUGUAUAUGAAUUUGGUGCACUUGAUUCCUGUGCAGCAUUUCCAUUUGAAAACUUUUUACAGGUUUUCAAAAAGAAUAUCAGAAAAGGGGCCAAACCUCUUCAGCAAAUAAUUAAGAGGUUCGGGGAAAUGAGUAAUUCUAACUUUUGGACUAAAAACAUAUUACCUUGUGGUUCUAUUUAUCCAAUAUUUUUAAAACCUCACUCAUCAGGCUUGCUUUUGCCAGGGUAUGAUAAAUUACAGCAGUUCAGCUCAAUUAAAUUUCAAUCUUUUGUAAUAAAAACAGCACAUCCGGAUUCAUAUUGUGUUUUAAAACAUGGUAAUAUUGUAGCAGUAUGCAACAUAGUGUUUUCCAAUAAUGUGCAGAGCAUGGUUAUACUCUGUAAAGAGUUUGCAACUAAAGAAAACUUCUUUGGUACACCAUUAAUAGAAAGUUCUAGUAUAGGAAUUAAUAUAGUAAAAGAAAAAAUGAGUCUAUGUGAAAAACCUGUGUCGGAUAUUGUGGGAAAAGUUGUUCUUCUCCCUUUUCAUGAUCACCAUGUCGCAAUCAAAAUGCUGCAUUCAUAGGUCUUAAUCCAUAAUGUCCUUUGUUCCUGUCCUAUCCUUUACUAGCCUUGUGGGUUUUGUCAAAGUGGAUGAUUACUUACUACAGAUUCUUUAUAAUGGCUCAUUUUGCCAUCGUUACAUUUGUGGACGAGGCUGAUGCACCAGGAAUAAUUGCAUCAAACUGGGUAAUAAAUGAAAAUUUAUGUUCGUACCCUAAUGUACGUACAGAAGAAUUAAAAGACAAAUUGUUAAAAAGGAAAGCUGAACCCGAGGAUAAAUGGCCGCAGUAUAAAAUAAAAAUUCUAAAAUACUACGAAAAUUAUAGCGAAGCCCGUCUCCAUUUGAAAAAAGCAGAAGAAACUUCCAAUUUGGAUUCUGAUGAGGAAGUAAGAAAAAGAAAAAGAAGACUAAAAAAAAUAUCCCUGCCAGAAGACUAACUCAGAAGAUGAAUACCCCAUUAUGAAGAUGUCAAAAACCCAGCAAAUAUUAAAAAAAAAGAAAAUGAUUUAGUUAAAUAUCCAACUCCUCCUAAACCUAAAAUAAGUGCCAUGUUAGUAGCAGACACAAAUAAAAAUGCCAGUAAUUCCUCUAAAGAGAUGAAUUGUCAACACAACCCAGCUGUAGAAGGCCAUCUGUGUUCUAGUGGAGUUGAAGACCACGCAUAUGACAUUGUGCCUGAAGAAUUUAACAACUGUGCAGAAGUUAACAACCAUGGGGCAAUAAAUGGAAACUCUAUCAUUGUAUGUAGUCCCACUCAUACUCUAGCCUGCACAAAUAAUUUCUCGAACGGUAUCUCUGGCUGCUCCGUAAGCAAACAAUUUGGCAUGCAGCAGGCUCAUUUAAUCCAGGUCGUGACUGACUUGGCCAAACAAAUGUCUGAAUUGAAUAGAAAAGUUGACAUACUUUUAGGGACACAUACAGCAGAUAGCUUUAAUGCAUAUACACAAGAUAAUUUAGAAAUUUCUGAAUUAUUAGCUACUCUUCCAGUAAAGGAUGAUGCGAGUUUUUGUCAUUUCAAUGACCAGUUACAAAUAGUCCGGAACAAACAGGCAAUUGUAUCAUUUUUGGCUGGUAUUGGCGGUAGAAACAUUCGAAGUCUAACCACUAAUAUGUUGAAAAGAAUACUACAAGACGAAGUUGCCGAGCUAUAUUCCUUAACUGGAAAACAAAUGAAGAACUCCAAUAAAAAACCAUUUUUAAAGACAGAAACCUGUAAAAUAAUCUUUCAAAUCUGCAAGAAAGUUUACGAAGAUGCGACAGAAGAAAACCUGAAAUAAAUAAUUAGCGACUGGCUGAAUCAGGCUAAAGUUAGGACAACAAGAAGGGCAGAAAGACUAAACAGACAAGCAUAACCCUUAUAAAGGCAGAGGCGAUAUUUUAAACAUAGCUAAUAUGAGAAAAUGGAAGAAUCCUUCAGCAUUUUCAAUUGAGAAAACCAUUAUUAUAUAGUUGAUAUAUAUUGCUUUCGUACCUUAUACUUACUUUUUUCAUCAGUAUUUAAUUUUGGUGUUAAGAAAUCCACGGCAAUAAGUGGUCAAUUUAUGCACUACGCCUGUUAAGGAAGGUGAGUUAUCAUAUCACUGUUUUAAUAGAGAAUAUAUGUCAAAUCAAGUGUACUAAUAGGUAGAGUGCAUAUAUUUACCACGUGUUUUUUUUAAUUAUUUAGGUUUUUUUACUGUAGAUGUAUUCCCCAGUGUAUAACUGGGGUCUUAUUAAGGGAUAAAUAACGAGUCUGUGCAUUAAGUAACAAUACUGUAUGUUGGUACUCUUUAUAUAUUAUUAUUGCAUACUGACACCAGUCAGUUUAACCAAUAGUGCUUUAAUAGUUAUUUACGAUACAAGUGCAAAAAAUAGGAAAUUCGCAACGAGUGGUGAUAAAUUAAAAUACGACCGAACGGAGUGUUUGAAAUCGACACUAGAUGCGAAUUACUGAUUCGCACGUGUAUCGUACAACGACCCAUAUGUACUGUAUAUGGGUCUUUAAAGUUUCGUCAUAUGCACAGAAAGUGCUCAUUCCCGCACGCGUGCGGGAAAGUAGCACCAUAUGUACUGUAAAAUAAUAUGUUGUGUUCCAUACCUAAUAAAUACUGUAAUAAAAUCUUACAUAAUUACCCAUGAAUAA